rnacentral:lncRNA from 1 species
GACUUCACUUCUUUUGCAGGUGAUCCCAGGAGCUCUGCCUUAACUGACCGUGUGCACAGGUAGGUCUGCCACAGCACUGUCAGCGUGUAUUCUUCUCCAGCUAGAUGGAGUCGACCCCAAAGGAAAAGUUACGAACAGGUGACCUCCACGGUCAGCUGCUCUUCUCCUCUCACGCCCCUUCCAUCUUUUCCCUUCUUGCUUUACGCUUCCCCCCAUGCAGACUCUUCUGGGGGUGAGCUUGACCGAAAAUCAGCAAAUCCAAAUACGCAUGUCGGGGUGACUCUUUGUCUUAUUUUUUUGGCAGAAGAUUUCUUUUUUUCUUUUUACUUUUUGUAGUCAAUAUAGCUUGAAUUAAUAAAUCCAUUUUGUUAGUUAGGUCAAUUCUCAAAAAAGCCGAUAGAACAACCAACAGUUGUUUUCUUUGGGUGUCCUAGUAUGUAUCUUUCCAGGGGCACUGUGAAAGCAGUAAUGCUAUCGCGUAGUCACUGGAAGACCUACUGCCGUUUGAGUUGGAACCUUUGUCUUGGAGGUCUUUCACGUUGUUUCAGGAAUUGCCGUGUUACUGAAAACAUGGUUUUAGAAAGCAAAUACUGCUCAGAUUUAUCUUACGCUCCCCAGAACUCCUCUUCUGGAUUUACUCUUCCUAAUAUUAUUUUUAUACUGACUUUAAAAAUACUGUGCCCAGGAGUUCUUGUCAUGGCUCAGUGGUUAACGAACCAACUAGCAUCCAUGAGGACGCGGGUUCGAUCCCUGGCCUCACUCAGUGGGAUGAGGAUCCAGCAUUGCCAUGAGCUGUGGUGUAGUUUGCAGACCUGGCUCAGAUCCCGAGUUCCCAGGCUAGUGUUUGAAUUGGAGCUACAGCUGCCGGCCUACACCACAGCCCAGCAGUGUAGGAUCGGACACAAGUCUGUGACCUGCACCACAGUUCACAGAAACACCGGAUCCUUAACCCACUGAGCGACACCAAGGGUGGAACCCGUAACGUCAUGAUAACUAGUCGGAUUUGUUUCCACUGAGCCACAAUGGGAACUCUAUUUAUUUUUUUUUUAACACUGGAUUGAUGCUACUGGUACUUGAUGUUAUUUUUUGGAGUAGUGGUUGAGAUAGAGUCAUAGAGCAUUUUCUAAUUGUGGCUCUAGCACUUAUUGUCUUCUCAGCCUUUGGCAACAUACUUCUGUGAUUCUCGCUUGUCUUUUUAUUUAUUGGAGUUCCCGUCGUGGCUCAGUGGUUAAUGAAUCUGACUAGGAACCAUGAGGUUGCAGGUUGGAUCCCUGGCCUUGCUCAGUGGGUUAAGGAUCCAGUGUUGCUAUGAGCUGUAGUGUAGGUCGCAGACAAGGCUCAGAUCUGGCGUUGCUGUGACUGUGGUGUAGGCCGGCAACCUUAGCUCUGAUUCGACCCCUAGCCUGGGAACUUCCAUAUGCUGCAGGUGCAGCCCUAAAAGGAUAAAAG